rnacentral:rRNA from 1 species
UCUACGGGUGGCAGCAGUGAGGAAUAUUGGUCAAUGGCCGUAAGGCUGAACCAGCCAAGUCGCGUGAAGGAAGAAGGAUCUAUGGUUUGUAAACUUCUUUUAUAUGGGAAUAAAGUGCAGUAUGUAUACUGCUUUGCAUGUACCUUAUGAAUAAGGAUCGGCUAACUCCGUGCCAGCAGCCGCGGUAAUACGGAGGAUCCGAGCGUUAUCCGGAUUUAUUGGGUUUAAAGGGAGCGUAGGCGGGUUGUUAAGUCAGUUGUGACAGUUUGCGGCUCAACCGUAAAAUUGCAGUUGAUACUGGCAUCCUUGAGUACAGUAGAGGUAGGCGGAAUUCGUGGUGUAGCGGUGAAAUGCUUAGAUAUCACGAAGAACUCCGAUUGCGAAGGCAGCCUGCUGGACUGUAACUGACGCUGAUGCUCGAAAGUGUGGGUAUCAAACAGGAUUAGAUACCCCAGUAGUC